AGAGUUUGGAUCAUGGCUCAGAUUGAACGCUGGCGGUAUGCCUAACACAUGCAAGUCGAACGAGACCUUCGGGUCUAGUGGCGCACGGGUGCGUAACGCGUGGGAACCUGCCUUUAGGUUCGGAAUAACUCAGAGAAAUUUGAGCUAAUACCGGAUAAUGUCUUCGGACCAAAGAUUUAUCGCCUUUAGAUGGGCCCGCGUAAGAUUAGCUAGUUGGUGGGGUAAAGGCCUACCAAGGCGACGAUCUUUAGCUGGUCUGAGAGGAUGAUCAGCCACACUGGGACUAAGACACGGCCCAGACUCCUACGGGAGGCAGCAGUGGGGAAUAUUGGACAAUGGGCGAAAGCCUGAUCCAGCAAUGCCGCGUGAGUGAUGAAGGCCUUAGGGUUGUAAAGCUCUUUUACCCGAGAUGAUAAUGACAGUAUCGGGAGAAUAAGCUCCGGCUAACUACGUG
rnacentral:rRNA from 1 species